AAAAUAUAACAAUACAAAAAAAAUUAAUAUUUAAGGACGAUUUUUUUCUAUAUUUAACGGAACUUAAAAGCAUAUCAAAAUAGUCUAUUAUCAUAUUUAAAAGCGUCGACAGAGAAGUGUGCACAUAAGGAGUCACCAUGUAUAUACCGACGCUUAUACCAAGUAUCGGUAAAUAUAUUCUGAUGAUUUAAAACGUCAGAGUUUUUUAAAAUCCUAAUGCUUUAAAGUGUUGAAAAAUUAAAAAUUAUUUUAUUCUUCAAUAAGUUGAUUUGAUGUAAUAGACUCUUCAUAUGGCGAUGUUUUUUGAAACAUCGAUAUUUGUCACAUUUUAGGAUGUUUUCCUCAAGGAUCCUUGUAAUGAAAUUUUCUUGUAGUGUAUUGAGAGUGCGACUAGAAUAUUUUCAGAAGUAGACGAGGUAGUUUAUUUCUGCAGUGUUAUUGCCAAUCGGACAUCUAAAUUGAGGACCGGCGCUAUUAAUUAAUCGGGCAUCUAAAUUGAGGAUUGACACUGUUAGAUAUAAUCGAAGGUAUUUAAACUUUUUAGUUUUCUAAUUUUAUAUAUAUUUUUUCUAUCAUUUGCCUAGACUUACUAGUAUAAAAUAAAUUUGAUCCUACUUAAUCAUUAGAUAAAUGAUAUUUUAAAAUCGCAAAAUUUAGUUUGCAGGAUGUUUUAAUAGCCUAUAUUAUAUCUAACGAAACCGGUUGUUGAUUUAUAUAUUCUAUCGUCAGAAAUAAAGUGAAAGUAAACAGCUUCGCAAGGAAUCGUAUGGUUCAAGUUUUGUAAUAUUUUAGAAAUAUUAUAUAUUUUAUAUUUGAGAUG
rnacentral:lncRNA from 1 species